ACGAAGGGUGCGAGCGUUAUUCGGAGUUACUGGGCGUAAAGAGCAUGUAGGCGGUUUGUUAAGUUAGUUGUUAAAUUUCAUGGCUUAACUGUGAUUCUGCAAUUAAUACUGGCGAACUAGAGCAUAGAAGAGAGAAGUGGAAUUCCCGGAGUAGCGGUAAAAUGCGUAGAUCUCGGGAGGAACACCGGUUGCGAAGGCGGCUUCUUGGUCUAUUGCUGACGCUAAAGUGCGAAAGUGCGGGGAGCAAACAG
rnacentral:rRNA from 1 species